rnacentral:tRNA from 1 species
GCGGGCGUGGUGGAAUUGGCAGACACGCCAGACUUAGGAUCUGGUGCUUUUAAAGCGUGGAGGUUCAAGUCCUCUCGUCCGCA